UUUUUUUUUUUUGUAAGUAGAGACGGAGUUUCACCGUGUUGGCCAGGCUGGUGACAAGUGACAUCUAUGUUUGAGCCUCAGUUUCUCCCCUUUUAUAAACCAGGGAUAUAAUCGUACUCGUUCUUCGUCUUCCCGUUUUGCCCCGCUGUGUUAUUGGGAAGACGUAGUUAGAUGGCGAAUGGAAAACAUCAGGCCCUGGGCCUCAUGCUUAAGUGGUCAAUAUUUGGAGCGCUGUGAUUAUGAACCUUAUAUAUUACCUGGAAAAAGAGGAUGGGUGUGUCUCCCCAACUGGGCAGGCUGACCUGGGACUGUUGUGGUCACUGCUGUAUCUCCAGCACUGCCCUGGGGAUGAUUGCCCUGGGGAUGAGGCUCUCUAGGUGCAGAAGGUGAGUGACUUAC
rnacentral:lncRNA from 10 species